ensembl:lncRNA
CAGGGAUGGCUGCUGCAUCGGUCAACUGUAAAGGCUGUACAGUGAGUAUAGGACAGGAAGAUUAAUCUAACUUCUGGGACACAGAGACAAGAGCUAGAUGUUAUUCCUAGCAGCCAAGGAUGAAAUAUCAGGAGCUGUCAACAGAUGAACAGAGAUUGAAGAGAUGAUGGAAGACCUGUGGUCAGAUAUGGGCUUUUAAUGAUGGGCAGCCUAGGCAGAACGAUAUGAACUGGUUCUGCACUUCUGAGAUGGCUGGAAAGCUGCCAGAGACCUUGGAGACGUUAGGACACCGCUGGAAUGAAUUUGCGUGCAUACUUUGCUUUGUCAAACACAAGGAUGUAAAAAUACUGUAUUCCACCUGAAAGCUGCCUUGUUGCAGAGUCACAUCCAGCAUCAUUGCAAGCAUCUUUAGAUUGUGAAGAAGUGAAGCCUGUAGCAAGGAAGCAAUUGUUAAGGGAGUUAACUGAUGUUAUUGAAUAGAAUCUGCAUUUGUGGAACAGAAUUAGGAGGCGCUUUCUUUACAUAAAAUAAGAGGAGCCAUUCACAGGAGACUGCAUACAGAGCACAAGCAAGCUAGGUUGGGAGUUCAUGGUAAUACUAAAUACCUUGCAGUGCAUGAGCUAUUUUUCACCAGGGAGACCAGAAGCCCUGAUCAGUAUUAAGAGCCUGUUGUCCUAUCGCAAAUACAGAGCAAACACAGAUAACAGGUAGCCAGCCCUGGAAAAUGUUUGUUUAUUCUGAUACAAUGGCAGAUUUACGCAUAAUUUGUGGACCUGCACUUAAUCAAAUCACAUGAACAUGUAGGCAAACACGUGCGGCCAUGCUUGUGUCUUUCAUCAAAUGUGAUUGAUAAAGAAAAGAAUUAGUGUAAGGAGUUGCAUUGUUGGAGGGCAUCGUUGUAAGCCAAACCUCUAUCGUCACAGCGAGCGGAGUUCCAGUAAUUGCAUUUUAAGGAGUAAUAAUUGACAUUUCAGGUACAAGAAGAGAAGAGCCUGGCUCAAUUGUAGAGUAUAUACCUCUCGAGAAUGACACAGGAAUGUCAUGAAUACGAAGACAGCAAAUUUUUGGCAUCUUUUACCUUUCAGGGGACAGCAGAUCAGCACACAGCCUUCACAAUGUUCUCUGUCUGUGAUGAUUUCGUUCUUUUAUUUACAGUCUUCCAUGGUGAUGGAGCCCACAAACUAUGUUCCACAAACUCCGUUCCACAUUCUUUGACUCCACCUAUGGGCAGCGUGGAUGGUGAAUGCUGGCUGAUGGCACCCUCACCCAAUUGCAGGAAGCCUGCUGCUCAGCAGCUUGAGGUGAAGCACAGAUCCUCCUUCAUGGCAUGGCACAGGCUGCAUGGAAAGCAAGGGAGGACACAAGCACUUCAUCCAGCGCCUGGCAGGAUUGUUCAGCCUUCCCCACUGUCCUGUUAACAAGUCUGUUCCCAGAGUAGAGAACCUGAAUGAGACCCAGGGCAGCUUUUGACAUAGUCAUGCUUUAUGCUCUGCCAUAUCUCUGCUGGCAAGGCACCCAGCAGCUCAGCUUGACAGCGAGAGUCUCACUGCUGUGCUGGAGAAAGCCAGAGUUGUCACAGAAGUUGAUAUAUUUGGGUUUCCUUGGUCAGUGACAGGCAAGUGCUUGACAAUGUGCUGUGCCUGCUCUAGUGCUCUGCUCCUUGCUGCCUGGGCUCUCAGUGGAGCAGCCAAACCCACAGGAGCUCACAUCUUGCAUGGGAUUAUGAGCUCCCAAUAUAAACCAGGAGGAUACCAUUGCUGGGCAGACAGGAACAGACAAAAGCAUUCAUUUAAUCUGUGCCAUCUACAAGUCUAGAACCAGAACGAGGUUCAAAGCCUUUGGCAGCCUGAGAUUGUUGGCAAUAGUGAGGCUAGAAAAGCCCUAGCUUAACCUGGAAAGCUGUGCUAAACACCUCACAAGAAAAUAUCUGUCUCUGAAUCAGAGCCUAAUUCUUGCUGUUGUUCUCUCACAGACACUGAGGAUCUCAGUGAUGCUCUGGACUUCCACGCUUGACAAUUUACAUGUAGGAUGAAAUUUUCAGGAGCAUCCAUUAUAGAUAUACAGUAGGAAAUUAAACAUAUAUUCAGGCAUUGAGAUCCACUGGCACACUCACACUCCCAAAAUUCAGCCUCCAGAAUAGGAAGACCAUAUCCAGAGUGCCUACUGGCAGCAGCCUCUGUUCUGUGCUAACAACUACUCUGCUCUGGGAGCAGUCCUGAUAAGCAUUAUGGAUCUAUGCAUGUUGCAACCAUGCCAGGACUCUUCUAACAGAUUGAGAGUACGGAUUAUUGAUCCCCAGCAUCUGCCUGUGUUGUUUGAUUUAUUGGUAGAGAAGUGUAUGUGAAUUCUGAGCCUGAAUCCAGAUUAAAAACCAGAAUUAUGUCAAUCUGUAUCCACAGUGGUCCCAGAAGAGCUGGAGGAACACUCAGUGCAGCAGUCCUGACAUGAAUUGUCCAAAACGGCUAACUUGCCUGAGUAUAAUGACUUCAGCUAGAGUUGUAUUUAUCAGCCAGCUCCAGCCUUCAAGGACUUGGUUCUAAAAGAACCCUGAAUUGAUUAGUUACCCACCUAAACAGGUUUUACAUUCCAGAUGAGCUCCUUUAUUCAAAUGACAGAGGGCCAUUAUGUUGCUAGAAUGAUUACCAUGUCCUCCAUAUAUGGCUCCAAGU